CUCGUUCUCUCUUUCUUCUGCCUCCCUCUCUCUCGUUCAGGUUGGUGGACAUGGCCGGCGGUGACGGCGCGCCACUGGCAACUACCCACCUCGCCGGACGGCGAGCUUCCGAGAGCCGCCGCCGCUCUGCAGGCCGGUCUCCCGCCACCGUCGGCUCUAGAUCUGUCCAACACGCGGUGGGGGGACGCCGGCCGGCCGGCCAGCCAGCCCAACGCGUCGGCCAGCAAUACCGAUGCCCCAAGUUCGACGGCGCCUUGUCCGACGGCCUCCCCUCUUCGUCCUCACGACGCUAUCCCUCCUCUCGUCUCAACGACCUCGGUUGAGCCUGACGCAACACCCGGCGGUCACCUAAACCCUAGCAGUGUCUCCCCUCUUCUUCCUCUACAAUGUGGUGCAUUGGGUGGCAUGAAUGAAAAAGAUGUGGCGGAUGGCAUGGAGAACAUACCAAGUUUUGGUGAUACAGAGUAUGGACCUAUUUUUUGUGAAAUAAGAUGCCUAUUUUGUUGUUGUA